rnacentral:lncRNA from 1 species
AUUUUAACCACCUUUUCUUAAUGAAACCUGGAUUUCAAGCACUAUUUCCUAGUAGAAAUUGAAUAAUGUAGUAAAGAAAUCGACUACUUCAUUUCUAAAUUUAUAACUCAAAUCCAGGAGCAGGUUUAGUCACACUGAGUCUGAAUUGCCAGCAGAUAGUUUUAAUGAAAUGUUCACAAAUGACUAUAUUGCUACGUAACAAGAAUAAUAAAUUCUGCUGUUUACACUUCCAAGAAAUUAAAGGGGAUGAAAGAUACAUUGGUCCCUGCAGUGGGAAGUUUCCUUGACAAUGCAAUUAUUGAUUCCAGGCACAUGACAGAAUUGCUCUGUUGAAGUUUUGCAAGGUCAAAUGACUCACUUUGUCUAAUGGAACGGGAACGAACAAUUUUUUUGUGUCACGUUUGAACAGAUACCUUUGAGAAGUUUAUGAUUCUCCAAGUUCUCUUUCUCCUACUGUGGCACCUACUGACAAGAUAAAUGUGUAGAGGUUCCUGAGUCUAGGGGCACUGGAACCAGCUGACUGAUCUAUGGAAGUUCCCUUGGUCUCCAUUUGUUUAGAAAAGGGACUGGUCAAAGGCUGACGUUUGCUUUUGGUGACAUUGCAUUAAUUGUCUCCCAUGAGACUGCUAGGGUGCUGAAGGGAUGAAGAAACUGAGGCCCACAGAAGGUGGGUGAUACCUGCAAAAUCACAAGCUUUCAUGGUGAAAGAAGAGGGCAAAACUCAACCCGUCUCUUUAGACUUGGGAAGAAUAUGAAAGGACCAGGAGGGACACCUUUCCUAAUAACCUAGCUGAUGGUUCACUUAUUAGGCUGGAAAGCUGAAAAAUGACAUUCCCAGACUCCAUUGAAAUUAGAUUUCCAGAGAGUUGUCUCACUAAGCCCAAAUUUGUCUAACUGGCCUUAUUUCCCUGGAGUAUAUCCUGGAAGUUUCCAUUCAAGCCAAUUUAAGUUACUUUAAAUUAGGAAAGGCAGAAAACAAAAGCCCAAACCUUUGUAAAGGAGGAGGAUUUGCUACAUUGUUCUCAAUUCAUCACAGAAGAGGAUGAAACUGAGUGAUUACACUUGCUGGAGAGAAAAAAAGUCCUUCCCCCGCUCACCCCAAAUAAAGCAUUAACUUUAUGUUAAUCCAUGAA